UUCAAAAAAUCAUUUAGUUUUAAAAUUAUUUCAAAAGUUGAUCAUCACCUUCUCAUCAUUUUUCAAGUUCAGAAUUUAUAAUCAAAGAGAAGAGGAAAUUCUUGAAGGGAGGCUUAUUGCAUGUGUAGGAUUCUUGGCAAUUGGAGUGAAUCAUCAAGCCUCCAUGAUCCUCUUCAUCUCUUGCUAUACAAAUUCAGCCUAGGCCCAUGACGCCCGCCACCAUUGAUGACGGCUAACCCGGAAUGUUCCCAGGCCAGAAUGACGGUCAUCAUCUUCAUGAAGGCCAGCUUGUCAUCCAUUAUGCCUCGAGUCAAGGUUUGAGGAAAAACUGGCAUAACCUGAGCUACAUAAUUUCGACUGAGACGUGGUUGGAUGCGAUGAAAAGCUAAUUCAAAGAGUUGUCAUAUAAUUAAGUAACAUAAUGAGUGUAUGCAAGUUUGCUACUUGUGAAUUGACCAUUAUUUUCCAUGCUUACAUGUUUAUAUGUUAUGCUUCAAUAAAUGUUAACAAAUUUGCAAUAGCACGAAUGAUAUGCUUUAAUGUUAACAAAGCCGUAAUAGCAUGUGUGCUAUGUUUCGAGGUAAGCAAAACCGUAAUGGCAUGUGUAUUUGUUUUGUCGUACCGAAAUUGUAAUAGCAUGUAAGUUGUGUAAGUUGGUAAAUAAUUUUAAUCUA